GAACAAACGCUGGCGGCGUGCCUAACACAUGCAAGUCGUACGAGAAAGUCCGCUUCGGUGGAUAAGUAAAGUGGCGCACGGGUGAGUAACGCGUGGAUAAUCUACCCUUAAGUCGGGAAUAACUUAUCGAAAGGUGAAUUAAUACCUGAUAACACUGCAUAACUACUGUUGUGUAGUCAAAGAAGGCCUCUGCUUGCAAGCUUUCGCUGAAGGAUGAGUCCGCGUACCAUUAGCUAGUUGGUAGGGUAAUGGCCUACCAAGGUUAUGAUGGUUAGCUGGUCUGAGAGGAUGAUCAGCCACACUGGAACUGAAACACGGUCCAGACUCCUACGGGAGGCAGCAGUGAGGAAUAUUGCGCAAUGGGGGCAACCCUGACGCAGCAACGCCGCGUGAGUGAGGAAGGUUUUCGGAUUGUAAAGCUCUGUCGAGCGGAAAGAAAUGCAUGAUGGCUAAUAUCCAUCAUGCUUGACGGUACCGCUAAAGGAAGCACC
rnacentral:rRNA from 1 species